rnacentral:rRNA from 1 species
AGCUCCAAUAGCGUAUAUUAAAGUUGUUGCAGUUAAAAAGCUCGUAGUCGGAUUUCUGGCCUUGGUAGGCGGUCCGCCGAAAGGUGUGCACUGUCCGCCGAGGUCUUUCCUCCCGACGUCUGCGUGUGCUCUUAACUGGGCGUGCGUGUGGCUCGGGACCUUUACUUUGAAAAAAUUAGAGUGUUCAAAGCAGGCCUUCGCUUGAAUACAUUAGCAUGGAAUAAUGGAAUAGGACUUUGGUUCUAUUUUGUUGGUUCUAGGACCGAAGUAAUGAUUAAUAGGGAUGGUUGGGGGCAUUAGUAUUUAAUUGUCAGAGGUGAAAUUCUUAGAUUUAUGAAAGACUAACUACUGCGAAAGCAUUUGCCAAGGAUGUUUUCAUUGAUCAAGAACGAAAGUACGC